GACGAACCGUGCGAACGUUGUUCGGAAUCACUGGGCUUAAAGGGCGCGUAGGCGGGCUCUCAAGUCAGGGGUGAAAGCCCACGGCCCAACCGUGGAAGUGCCUCUGAUACUGGGGGCCUUGAGGGGGAUAGGGGCGUGCGGAACUUGGGGUGGAGCGGUGAAAUGCGUAGAUAUCUGGAGGAACACCGGUGGCGAAGGCGGCGUUCUGGACUGCAACUGACACUGAGAAACGAAAGCCAGGGUAGCAAACGGG
rnacentral:rRNA from 1 species